rnacentral:rRNA from 1 species
UACGUAGGGGGCAAGCGUUGUCCGGAUUUAUUGGGCGUAAAGAGCGUGUAGGCGGCCACACAGGUCAGCUGUGAAAACUCGAGGCUCAACCUCGAGACGUCGGUUGAAACCGUAUGGCUAGAGUCCGGAAGAGGAGAGUGGAAUUCCCGGUGUAGCGGUGAAAUGCGCAGAUAUCAGGAGGAACACCAAUGGCGAAGGCAGGUCUCUGGGCCAUUACUGACACUGAGAAGCGAAAGCAUGGGGAGCGAACAGG